rnacentral:rRNA from 1 species
UACGUAGGGGGCGAGCGUUGUCCGGAUUUAUUGGGCGUAAAGCGCACGCAGGCGGGGAGCCAAGUGUGGGGUGACAGCGGCCGGCUUAACCGGUCAAGUGUCCUACAGACUGGCUCUCUUGAGGGUCACAGAGGAACACAGAAUUCCGGGUGGAGUGGUGAAAUGCGUAGAGAUGCGGAGGAACACCGAUGGCGAAGGCAGCCCCCUGGGCUAACACCUGACGCUCAGGCACGAAAGCGUGGGGAGCAAACGAGGA